rnacentral:rRNA from 1 species
CGAACGCUGGCGGCGUGCUUAACACAUGCAAGUCGAACGAUGAAGCCGGAGCUUGCUCCGGUGGAUUAGUGGCGAACGGGUGAGUAACACGUGAGCAAUCUGCCCUUGACUCUGGGAUAACUGCGGGAAACUGUAGCUAAUACCGGAUACGACACCUUGGGGCAUCCCAGGGUGUGGAAAGAAUUUCGGUGGAGGAUGACUUCGCGGCCUAUCAGCUAGUUGGUGAGGUAAUGGCUCACCAAGGCAACGACGGGUAGCCGGCCUGAGAGGGCGACCGGCCACACUGGGACUGAGACACGGCCCAGACUCCUACGGGAGGCAGCAGUGGGGAAUAUUGGGCAAUGGAGGAAACUCUGACCCAGCGACGCCGCGUGCGGGAUGAAGGCCUUCGGGUUGUAAACCGCUUUCAGUAGGGAAGAAGCGAAAGUGACGGUACCUACAAAA